CAAAGCUGCUCAUUGUUGAAUAUUUCCAUCUGUUCAUUCCCCUGCUGCCAGCCUCCCUGAACGUUCCAGAAAACUUCACUUCUUUAUUAAACUGAAAAUACAUUGAAAUUUGUUGUAUUUACAUAUAACUUUAACCAGUCACAGGCAGAGAAUCAUUUAAGAAAUGCAAAAUAAAAUCACACCUCUGCCAAGGCCAGAAAAGCUUGAAAUUCAAUGUUUAGGUCAGACCCAAAACCAGACACAUACAGUUUUUCUAACAAGUUACUCAACAACCAGUGUAAUGUAUUACUGUGAAUUAUCAAUGCAUACUGCACAAUACAAAAUCAGAUUCUGUGGCCCUGAUACAGUUGUCAGUUUUUCCUGGGUGACAACACAGAUCUGAAUGUAGGAAUGUGAACAGCGAGUGGACUCUGAGGACAAGGCCCACCCUUCACGACAGCAUGUGGUCAAUCGUAAAAAUCUAAAGUUUCAUUAGUUGUGUAAUAUGGCACGACUUCAGUUACCGGCUGUAAGAGGUUGCAGCCAGUGCACGCGUACCCAUUUUAUUAAUAGACGUUUGCAAAGAGGAAUGUAAUCUGCAAUAUUUUAUACUUAAUAGAAGACUGCAGUAUAUAUAUAUAUAUAACCCUGUACAUCUCAGAUCUUUGCAGUGACAAUUUAGAUACUGGCUUUCAACCAUGAUUGAGGAUAAACUGGUAAAUUGGCGACUUGAUUCUGUUAAAGCACACGUAUAACCUUAUGUAGAAAAAUGGGAGUGCCAAAGAUGAAGACCCACCCACCCCACUCCCCACAUAAAAGUAGUAAAUAGAGCAUGAAAAUAUUUGUUGCACUUUCUUACUGAAAAGUUUAGCUCUAUCAAGAAUAAUAGCCAUUAUCUUCCACAGCCCUCUGAUGCAGUUAAUAAAAGCUGAAUUGGUUGUGGAACAUCCAAAAAUCAAACCAGUUUCCCCUUUCAGUAAUAAGUUACAAAUAGUGAACUUAUUUCCCAUCCUAUGCGAUUUAUUA